rnacentral:rRNA from 1 species
UACGGAGGAUCCAAGCGUUAUCCGGAUUUAUUGGGUUUAAAGGGUGCGUAGGCGGGUUUGUAAGUCAGUGGUGAAAUCGAGCAGCUCAACUGUUCCACUGCCAUUGAUACUGCAGAUCUUGAGUUCGUUUGAAGUGGGCGGAAUGUGUAGUGUAGCGGUGAAAUGCUUAGAUAUUACACAGAACACCAAUUGCGUAGGCAGCUCACUAAACCGAAACUGACGCUGAGGCACGAAAGUGUGGGGAUCAAACAGG